GAACGUGCAGACAAAAAAGCUGGUCCUGUUGGCCCGGGUUCAUAUUGGUGAGUUACCUUUUCUCAUUGCAAUUCUGAACUUUUGCUGUAUUUUUAGCAAAUGUUGUAUAUGAUGUUGGCCUUGAUCAUUAUGGACUUUAGCACCCCUUAACCAGACAAUAGAGCUUUCUUAUCUAAUCGAUUCAUGCUACAAUCAAGUGACCCCAAAAUUGAUCUGUUUUAUCAUUCAGAAUAAAUAUAAAUAGUUAAUCGUCACUCAUGAGAGGCUCCCCUUUGGUUAAUGUCAGUAGAUAUGAGCAGAGCUCAAUCGUAGUGUCAUACAACAAGUUUUCCCUAUUGCAUUAUUAUUAUGGGCCACAGUUUUUUCCGAUUUGGAUGUUCUUUUAUUCUGGGAUUUUUAAUCGAAUGCACUCUACUUUUCUUUUUGAAGUUUAAUUUAUUAUCAAGUUCUCUCUUUCUAUGGACCACCAGAUGAUUUUCUGCUGAGCUCUUAAGUUACAUUUAACACUGUGAAGCAUUAUACAAUAAGCUUAGAAUGCUAUUUAUAUCAGCAGGAGAUUAGGCGGAAACGGCUUAUUUGUCUCAGGAUUUGCUGGGCCUAAUAAGGGAUCAACGAGAACAAAGAUACAAAAGUAGAAGAACAUGCACACACUGACACUUUAUGUUUGUUCUCUAACAAAAUGAUUUCAGAAUGAGAAACCUUGUGUUCAGUCGGAGAAAAUGAUUGCCAGUUGUGGAACCAAAAAGUUAGCCCAUGUGUGUGGGUCGUUGCCCCUAGCUGGACUCCACAAAAGCUUUCAGUUGUAUGCAAUAGCAUCCUGGUAUCAGCUCCUCUGGCUGUCUGGCCGGAAGAGCUCGCAACUUCUGUCAGCUGUGCGCACAAAGGGCGCAUGUGUUCUUGCAUGUUGGUUCUUCAAUAUAGAGCUUCAAGCAAGUGUUUUGUUGUUCUGAUCAUGUCACUGCAACUCAGACGAAAUUUUGCUUACAUGACUCCAUGAGGCCUCUACUACAGAAGUUUUAUGCGAAGUGCAACAAGUUUAGGCUGCACAUAACCUGUAGCUGUGCACGUCAAUGUGGUCUGCACGUCAAUGUGCUCAAUUUGUUGAAAAUUCAAGCAUUGUUCCCAUAGCUAAGCCGAGAGAAGGGUUGACAGGAAAAACUAAGCAUCAUCACGUUUCGUAUAAAAUAGUACCUCUUCUUUCUUUUUGGGAUGUAAAACAGUAGCUAACCGAACCAUUGUGCACUAAUAGUUCCAAUCUAGCAAGCCACUA